rnacentral:lncRNA from 10 species
AUUUCAGGGGGAAAGAGGAAGACACCAGGAAGUUUUUCACCAGCCAGAGUAUCGCACUCCUACCAAGUGCAUCUCUGCGAAGACAAAACCCCAUAAUGAAAGAAACAUUCUGAGGAUGUUUGCUGAGCUCCAUAAUUGAGAGAAAGAAGUUGGACAAAGACACACCCACAGGGAAAGCACCAUGAGAAGAUGACGGCAGAGAUCUGGGCGACGCGUCUACAAGCCAAGCGACACCAAAGGUGGCCAGCAGCCCAUGUGAAGCUGGAGGAGAGGCCUCGAAUAAAUGCUCCCUUACAGCGUUCAGGGGGAACUGACCCUGUCCACACCUUGACCUUGAACUUCUGGGCUCCAGAACUGUGAGACAGCAUGUUCUGUUGUUGAAGGAGCAGCGUGGCUAGAGGAAUUCCUGCAGCUUAGAUUUCGCUGGCACUGUUACCACUCCCAGAGAGGAGCGGCUGGAGUUCACGGCUGGUUCCUGACAAACUUCCUAAUUAAUCUGCUAAAGAUCAGAGGAGGACUAAUAGGAGCUGAAGACUGUGUGCGAGACCACCCCUCCGCCCUCUCCCUUUGUGUGUGCACGUGUGUGUGUGUGUGUGUGUGAGCGCGUGCGCGCAUGUGGUGCUGAGCUUGGCGGGAGAGAGAUGGCCUCACCAGCGACAAAGCAUUCCUGCUGCUGUUGCUGCCACCUACCUUCCCUGCUUUGGGAGGAUACAUUUUCUCCUCUUGCUUAGAAGUUUCAGGGAGUCACCCAAGCCUUCUUCUCCCAGAUACAACGGUGGAAUAAAAUAUCUUCCAGCCAACAUAUUUUUUGGAGACGGAAUCUCACUCUGUCACCUGGUUGAAGUGCAGCAGCGCGAUCAUGGCUCACUGCAACCUCUGCCUCCCGGUUUCAAGUGAUUCUCCUGCCUCCGCCUCCCGAGUAGCUGGGAUUACAGGCAUGUGCCACCCACCACGCCUGGGUAAUUUUUGUAUUUUUACUAGAGACAGGGUUUCACUAUGUGGGCUGGGCUGGUCUCAAACUCCUGACCUCUGGUGAUCUGCCCACUUCGGCCUCUCAAAGUGCUGGGAUUACAGGCAUGAGCCCCCGCACCCGGUUGCAACCAACUUUUUUGUGGAAUAUAGGAUCUUGAUGUUUGGAUGCCUGAAGGCAGAAGCUGUUGCACAUGGAAUGGAUUAAAGUUUUCCCCUCUGCAACCAAAAAUCCUUGGGGUCCCAGGAGCAAAAGAUGCUCCAUGGCACAGGACAAUUCAAGAAGGCCCGAGGUGAUAUUGAAGACUGCAGAGACAUCCAGCUCAGUUGUGUCUCCGGAGGUGUCCAGACUUUGCAGACAGACGUUGCACAUAAAGAGCUGAAAAACUGAGGAAGCUGAGCUGGAGAAGGAAGUCACUUCUACUCAGACUUGACCUGCGUCUGAUGCUAUGGGGCCUCUUAGGGUUACCUCAUGCUUCAUGCACCCCUUUCUCUGUUCUUCAGCAGAAGGCAGGGUGUAGGGAAGCGGGACUGUGCCUCCUUUCUCCCUGCCAGGCCUGACUCUCCAGGCCAAGAGACACCAUUAAGGAGUAUAAUUUGUUGAUCCAGGCUCUCCUUGCGUUUCAGUGCAGAGUGGCAUCGUUUUCUUUAUGACCUCGUAAAGUCACAGCCGAGAGGCCGAUUUGGAAAACAAACUGCCUCAGGUUGACAGAUAAUUAGAUACAGGGGACAUAUUAUAUGCCUUUGCAUAUAAAUGUGCUCCGAGGCGUGUUGGUUCAUCUGAAGUUGAGGUUAAAGGCGCGCCAGGUAUUCCUGACACAUCAGGAUAUAUAUUUUCAUACAGUCUCAGGUGCUGUGUUGGUUUUAUAGGCCUUUCAUCCUGGUGCUGACGGAUGGGGUGUGAUUGUGACCCAACUUAGAAGAAAGGGACUUCCCUUGCCCAGGGGCCUCCUGGCGUUUUUGUUUUGUGUUCUCCCUCUCCACCCCCACUUUCUCUUCUUCCUUGGGAAGGGAACUGUUCUUUGGACCUAGGAUUCUGCCGUGAGUGACUAAUGGCCUGAGUAGGAGGGACCGGGACUCAUUUUUCUUUUCUGGACUCUAAUAGGCCCAAUUAAUUCAGCUACAACAUGGGCCCUUACAAGCCUGGGACAAGCCUGGGUGGAAUUCUAUAUUGAGGAGUUAAUCCUAAUAAAAAAUGAUUACAGAAGAGGACGCCUCCACCCACAGGAAGGAGCCAGCACGGUGGGGAGCUGUUUCACCAGGGGAGUGUUCUCAGCAGCUGCCACACGUGGAGUUGUGGAGGCUUCAUUAAUUAUCCUGGAAUGUGGUCACCCAGUUUUCUUCAACAUGGGCCAUUCUCCUUUUAGCAGGAUCUUGGCAGUGGACUGCCACGGGAGCUCUGGGGAAAAAGGACCAGUUGGACUCCAGUACCUCCUGAGAGACCACCACCCUCCAUGCCUCCAGCUCAUGCCCAGCUCUGAGUCAGACGGACUCUUCCUGUUGUACUGCGAGGUUCUGCAAACCUUGAAGGGCAAACACAGUGAGGGUCUCUGACUUGCUGUGUGGACAGCCCACUCUCUGACAGCCCAGAUCAUCUGAAGCUAUCCCUGGGCUGGGAGCUGGAAGCCAUUCUUGUGAACCACUCCUUAUACCUUGAGCGAAGCCUCUUUGGGUCCCAGAAGUCUGAAGCUCCAGCUGCCUGGCAAGACUGAGUCUAGAUGAUUUCUUGGGUACCAGUAGUUUGGCAUUUAAAAAUACUGGAUUAACUGCAGUGUAAACUUAGAUUGCAUUUCAGAUUGUAAACAAUAACCCCCGUGCUUCAUGUGAUGUUAAAUCAGAAAUGAGCUAUUAGCCAAGCUAGUCCUCUUAUGAAUGAGCCCCUAACCCUGAUCCAGGGAUCGUUGAAUGAAAAUCAUCAAAAUGAUUUAUCUUCACUUUACCUAUUGUCUCACAAGAAUCUCAUCACUCAGGGAAAAGGAGGGUGUUCUUCAGGGAACGGAGGGCAUGAGGAAGGGGGAUUUCCUUAUAUCUCAACUUUCAGAGGGAGCUGAGUUGUAAACAGAUGGAACAAGGUGUGUACGAGAAGCCUCUUAGAUUUAGUCUUUCAUAUCAAGGCUCUUGCUGAAAAUCCUGGCACAGCUGUGAAAUGAGGGGAGCUCUGACACACAGAGACACGCUCCUUGCCUCACCAACCUUCCCAUACACAGUCAUGCGCACAGAGAGCAGGUACCAAUACUGAAAAUGCCCUUCCGGAGUUUCCUCAGCUUAAACCCUUGACAGCAUUAAGUGAGGAAGGAGUUUCCUUGACCUGGGGAAGAAGAACCAACUCAUAAACAUGGAACUGUGCCCACUGCCUUUUCCUUUGCUCUGUGGAUUGGCUGUGGUUCUGCCCUGGCACUCGGAUGUCAAGUUGCUCUGGCUGUUUGGGAGGAAGCCCAGCCUGGGUCAGGUGGUCAUAAGCCAGAGGCCCUGUCCUGUCCCCAGGGUUGGCCUCCCUCUGGGGUCCAGCAUGGCCCCAGUGCUGAGGCUCCCACUGCUGGGGAAUGUGCCCUCUCCUCUCUUUGUUUCCAUACCAAGGGGAUCUGCAGGGUAGAGGGCAAAUUAUUCUUAGCAGAUUGGGGCUAUGGGUAAACCAGAAGGGAUGAGGGAGAGAGGAGAGAGGAGAGGAAAGGGAAGGAGAGGGGAGGGCAGGGGAUAGGUAGAGGAGAGAGACAGCAAGAAAAAAUAGAAAAAAAAAAAAAGGAAAUAAAGGUUGCAUAUACAAAGGGAGAUUAACAAGGAGUAGAAGAAGGGAGGCAGAAGAGGGAGAAACAGAGAAGAGGAACAAAGAAGACAUUUCCAAAAAAGACGUGAGCACACCAGGCAGGAGGGAGAAAAGGAACAAGGAGAAAGGAAGGAAGUGAGACAAGCUGGGGAGAGAAGAGGCAAAGGCAGCCAGGAGCAGGCAUAGGGGAGAGAGGAGUGGGAAGCCCCAGGGGGUACAAGGAAAAAAAUGAGGGAAGCCAGUGGGAGGAAGGUGAGGAAGAGGAGAGGGAACAGGCACUGGGUGGGGAAGAGGCGAGCAGGAGAAAGCCUGUGCUGUGUGGAUUAUUGUGUGUUUGUCAUCUGGAAUGGUAUAAGCUGUAGGUACAGCAGCUCCCGCCCAUGAUUUAUGGUCCCUGUCAGGCAGGGACCGCGCUUUGUCUGCUGUAGCGUGGACGAUGAAUGCUCCGCUGUCAUCCCAGCCUGGCCGGCCUUUCUCUCUCUCUGCUCCCAACGCUGGCUCCCCAUUUCACGCCAGUGAACAUAAGCAAUCUUUUGUAAACCUGACAGUCACACUUGCUUCUUUGGAAACAUAAAGCAGAAAUGUAUGACUCGGCUUUCAUUACCCAAUUUCCUACGCUAUAUAAAAACACUCAGGAAAGACAUGUAAGUGGUCACGAAACCUGGGAAAUUGGAAGUGUCCUGGAGGAAAAAAAAAGGAAGAGUGGGGAGAAGGGGGCUGUAGGGUGGGAGGGAGCCGGUGAGGAGAGGAGACGAUGUGUCUAACUCCACCACAUCCUUCCCAGAAAACGCCGGCUGAUAAACGGGCCAUGCAGACACAUAAUUAUAUUACAUAUCUGAAUAAUAGACAUUUCCUGCCUGAAGUGUUGCUUUUUUUCCUCCUUCUCCUUUUAAC